rnacentral:rRNA from 1 species
CGUCGCGUUGGACGGAUGAAGUCCCUUGGGAUGUAAACUCCUUUCGAUCGGGACGAUAAUGACGGUACCGGAAGAAGAAGCACCGGCUAACUCUCGUGC